rnacentral:rRNA from 1 species
UAGGGAAUCUUGCGCAAUGGACGAAAGUCUGACGCAGCGACGCCGCGUGAGCGAUGAAGGCCUUCGGGUCGUAAAGCUCUGUGGGGAGAGACGAAUAAGGUAUGGCUAACAUCCAUGCCGAUGACGGUAUCUCCUUAGCAAGCACCGGCUAACUCUGUGCCAGCAGCCGCGGUAAGACAGAGGGUGCAAACGUUGUUCGGAAUUACUGGGCGUAAAGCGCGCGUAGGCGGCCAUGCAAGUCGGGCGUGAAAUCCCACGGCUCAACCGUGGAAGUGCACUCGAAACUGCAUAGCUGGAGUCUCGGAGAGGAAGGCGGAAUGCUUGGUGUAGAGGUGAAAUUCGUAGAUAUCAAGCGGAACACCGGUGGCGAAGGCGGCCUUCUGGACGAUGACUGACGCUGAAGCGCGAAAGCGUGGGGAGCAAACAGGAUUAGAUACCCUGGUAGUCCACGCCGUAAACGAUGAGUGCUAGGUGUCACGGGCUUUGACCCUCGUGGUGCCGCAGCUAACGCGUUAAGCACUCCGCCUGGGGAGUACGGCCGCAAGGCUAA